UUUGUGCUUGCACAAAACGGGAACCGGCGAACGGGUGCGUAACACGUAUGCAACCUACCUAUAACUGGGGGAUAGCCCGAAGAAAUUCGGAUUAAUACCCUGUAAUAUUUACACACCGCAUGGUGAGUAUCUUAAAACUCCGGUGGUUAUAGAUGGGCAUGCGGCUUAUUAGUUUGUUGGUGAGGUAACGGCUCACCAAGACUACGAUAAGUAGGGGGUCUGAGAGGAUGAUCCCCCACACUGGUACUGAGACACGGACCAGACUCCUACGGGAGGCAGCAGUAGGGAAUAUUGGACAAUGGACGAAAGUCUGAUCCAGCCAUGCCGCGUGCAGGAUGACGGCCCUAUGGGUUGUAAACUGCUUUUAUAUAGGAAGAAACCCUCGCUCGUGAGCGAGGCUGACGGUACUAUACGAAUAAGGACCGGCUAACUCCGUGCCAGCAGCCGCGGUAAUACGGAGGGUCCAAGCGUUGUCCGGAUUUAUUGGGUUUAAAGGGUACGUAGGCGGGACUUUAAGUCAGUGGUGAAAGCCUCCAGCUUAACUGGAGAAUUGCCAUUGAAACUGAAGUUCUUGAGUAUGGAUGAGGUGGUUGGAAUACAAACAUGUAGCGGUGAAAUGCAUAGAUAUGUUAUAGAACACCAAUUGCGAAGGCAGAUCACUAAACCAUUACUGACGCUGAGGUACGAAAGCGUGGGGAGCGAACAGGAUUAGAUACCCUGGUAGUCCACGCCGUAAACGAUGUUCACUCGCUGUUGGCGAUAUACUGUCAGCGGCCAAGCGAAAGCAUUAAGUGA
rnacentral:rRNA from 1 species